rnacentral:rRNA from 1 species
AUUGAACGCUGGCGGCAGGCCUAACACAUGCAAGUCGAACGGUAACAGGAAGCAGCUUGCUGCUUUGCUGACGAGUGGCGGACGGGUGAGUAAUGUCUGGGAAACUGCCCGAUGGAGGGGGAUAACUACUGGAAACGGUAGCUAAUACCGCAUAACGUCGCAAGACCAAAGAGGGGGACCUUAGGGCCUCUUGCCAUCGGAUGUGCCCAGAUGGGAUUAGCUAGUAGGUGGGGUAACGGCUCACCAAGGCGACGAUCCCUAGCUGGUCUGAGAGGAUGACCAGCCACACUGGAACUGAGACACGGUCCAGACUCCUACGGGAGGCAGCAGUGGGGAAUAUUGCACAACGGGCGCAAGCCUGAUGCAGCCAUGCCGCGUGUAUGAAGAAGGCCUUCGGGUUGUAAAGUACUUUCAGCGGGGAGGAAGGGAGUAAAGUUAAUACCUUUGCUCAUUGACGUUACCCGCAGAAGAAGCACCGGCUAACUCCGUG